CGCGGCCUAUCAGCUUGUUGGUGAGGUAACGGCUCACCAAGGCAUCGACGGGUAGCUGGUCUGAAGGAUGAUCAGCCACACUGGACUGAGACACGGCCCAGACUCCUACGGGAGGCAGCAGUGGGGAAUAUUGCACAAUGGGCGCAAGCCUGAUGCAGCGAUGCCGCGUGCGGGAUGAAGGCCCUAGGGUUGUAAACCGCUUUCAGUAGGGACGGUACCUACAGAAGAAGGUGCGCCAACUACGUGCCAGCAGUCGCGGUGACACGUACACCAAGCGUUGUCCGGAUUUAUUGGGCGUAAGAGCUCGUAGCGGUUCAGUUAGUCGGGUGUGAAACUCUGGGCUCAACCCAGAGACCCACCCGAUACUGCUGGCUAGAGUACGGUAGGGGAUGGGGAAUCCUGGUGUAGCGUGAAAUGCGCAGAUAUCGGAAGGAACACCAGUGGAUCACAGUGAAUUCGC
rnacentral:rRNA from 1 species